rnacentral:rRNA from 1 species
UGGGGAAUAUUGGACAAUGGGCGAAAGCCUGAUCCAGCCAUGCCGCGUGUGUGAAGAAGGUCUUCGGAUUGUAAAGCACUUUAAGUUGGGAGGAAGGGCAGUAAGCGAAUACCUUGCUGUUUUGACGUUACCGACAGAAUAAGCACCGGCUAACUCUGUGCCAGCAGCCGCGGUAAUACAGAGGGUGCAAGCGUUAAUCGGAAUUACUGGGCGUAAAGCGCGCGUAGGUGGUUCGUUAAGUUGAAUGUGAAAGCCCCGGGCUCAACCUGGGAACUGGAUCCAGAACUGGCGAGCUAGAGUGGGGCGGAGGGUGGUGGGAUUUCCUGUGUAGCGGUGAAAUGCGUAGAUAUAGGAGGGAACACCAGUGGCGAAGACGACCACCUGGGCUCAUUCUGACACUGGGGUGCGAAAGCGUGGGGAGCAAACAGG